GUCCCUAUCGAUUAGUGGUCAAAUCAUCGUGUUGUGGUUCUAGACAUGCACCGCGAAGCCGGGAGCUCGAAUCUCCCUAGGGACA